AUCCCGGAUGCAGAAGGCGUGUCCUACAGGUUCUUCAUCGCCAGAUGGCGUUGGCAGUCGAUGAGACGAUCGAAGAGCUGCAUUUCUGUACAGACGGCGUCGUGACUCGCUCAUCAAUAGAACAAAAAUUGGUUGAGAAGGCAGUUUUGGACUUGUACGAUCCGGUCGUGCGAGAUCCGUAUAGUCGAUUAAGCGUCCGACUGCUGAGAUUGAGACACGUGGCAUUUCUGAUGAGAGGACUGCACCUUCUGCCUCAAGGAUACGAAUCUUUAGAUGCAAGUCAACCGUGGAUAUGCUACUGGAUCAUACAUUCUCUGCGCCUUCUUGAUGCACCAAUUCCGAGCAAACUCAGUUCACAAAUAGUAGAGUUCUUGAAGAGGUGUCAAUGUCCUACAGGAGGCUUUGCAGGUGGUCCGUAUCAGAUGCCACAUCUAGCUACUACUUAUGCAGCUACCCUAGCUUUGUGCAGUCUAGGCACCGAAGAAGCCUAUCAAGCAAUAGACAGGUCUGCUCUACAGCUAUUCCUCAAGAGUCGACAUAUGCCUGAUGGCUCAUUCACGAUGCAUCAAGACGGCGAAGUCGACAUCAGGGGUGUAUAUUGUGCACUGACUGCUGCUAUGCUCACGAAUGUCUAUACACCUGAGAUGUUUGCUGGCAGUGCGGAAUGGGUAGCUCGAUGUCAGACGUAUGAGGGUGGCUUCUCUGGUGAGCCAGGCCUUGAAGCACAUGGUGGUUAUUGCUUUUGUGGCUAUGCAGCUCUCAUAUUGCUUGGGAAAGAGCACCUAAUAGACACAGACAAUCUACUGAAAUGGGCAGUACAUCGACAGAUGAGACUAGAAGGAGGCUUUCAGGGAAGAACAAACAAGUUGGUCGAUGGAUGCUAUUCUUUCUGGGUGGGAGGUUUGCUGCCUCUUCUGCAUUACACGCUUAUGAAGACAGGGGACAAAUCAUUAGAUGAAUCAGCGUGGUUGUUUGAUCAAGAAGCUUUACAGGAUUAUGUGCUGUUUUGUUGUCAGCUUGAGAAAGGAGGUCUAAUUGACAAGCCUGGAAAGUCUCGUGACUUCUACCACACAUGUUACUGUUUGAGUGGUUUGUCAAUUGCACAGAAUAAUCCAGGAGAUGGAGUAGACACAGUUGUUGGUCAUGCAGACAAUUUAUUGUGCAAGGUCCUACCCCGUUUACACAAGCAUACAUAGCGAGCGAAGUUGAGCCGAGCCUCACCAGCCUGUGCCAGCUUAGCAUUCCAGCCCACAUUUACAUGACACAAUCUUUAGAAAAACGUACACAUCCUGUGUUCAAUAUUUGCGAAGACAAAGUGGACGAAGCGAGAAACUACUUCAAAAGGCAACCAAUGGUUUUGUUAGAACCUACAGUUUGAGAGAGUAGGGAACUAUGGCAGUCAAGGAUUAUGAAUACAUCUGAGUGCUCAACAGUAACCGAAAAAGGCAACAAUACACGUUCAGUCUAAUGCAAACAAGUACAGCUAUGACAAUGAUGGAAUAUAGAAUAUGUAGAAUAUUAUUUGAUAUUAU